GCCGAGGUGGCGGAAUUGGUAGACGCGCCAGGUUUAGGUCCUGGUGUCUUUAUGGCGUGGAGGUUCGAGUCCUCUCCUCGGCA
rnacentral:tRNA from 1 species